rnacentral:rRNA from 1 species
UACGUAGGGGGCAAGCGUUGUCCGGAAUCAUUGGGCGUAAAGAGCGCGUAGGCGGCCCUGUAAGUCCGCUGUGAAAGUCAAGGGCUCAACCCUUGGAUGCCGGUGGAUACUGCAGGGCUAGAGUCCGGAAGAGGCGAGUGGAAUUCCUGGUGUAGCGGUGAAAUGCGCAGAUAUCAGGAGGAACACCGAUGGCGAAGGCAGCUCGCUGGACGGUGACUGACGCUGAGGCGCGAAAGCCGAGGGAGCGAACAGG